AUUGAACGCUGGCGGCAUGCUUUACACAUGCAAGUCGAACGGCAGCGCGGGCUUCGGCCUGGCGGCGAGUGGCGAACGGGUGAGUAAUGCAUCGGAACGCGCCCAGUAGUGGGGGAUAGCCCGGCGAAAGCCGGAUUAAUACCGCAUACGACCUGAGGGCGAAAGCGGGGGACCGAAAGGCCUCGCGCUAUUGGAGCGGCCGAUGUCGGAUUAGCUAGUUGGUGGGGUAAAGGCUUACCAAGGCGACGAUCCGUAGCUGGUCUGAGAGGACGACCAGCCACACUGGGACUGAGACACGGCCCAGACUCCUACGGGAGGCAGCAGUGGGGAAUUUUGGACAAUGGGGGCAACCCUGAUCCAGCCAUGCCGCGUGCGGGAAGAAGGCCUUCGGGUUGUAAACCGCUUUUGUUCGGGAAGAAAUCCUCUGGGCUAAUACCCCGGGGGGAUGACGGUACCGGAAGAAUAAGCACCGGCUAACUACGUG
rnacentral:rRNA from 1 species